rnacentral:rRNA from 1 species
GAUGAACGCUGGCGGCGUGCCUAAUACAUGCAAGUCGAGCGAACAGAUGAGGAGCUUGCUCCUCUGACGUUAGCGGCGGACGGGUGAGUAACACGUGGAUAACCUACCUAUAAGACUGGGAUAACUUCGGGAAACCGGAGCUAAUACCGGAUAAUAUAUUGAACCGCAUGGUUCAAUAGUGAAAGACGGUUUUGCUGUCACUUAUAGAUGGAUCCGCGCCGCAUUAGCUAGUUGGUAAGGUAACGGCUUACCAAGGCGACGAUGCGUAGCCGACCUGAGAGGGUGAUCGGCCACACUGGAACUUAGACACGGUCCAGACUCCUACGGGAGGCAGCAGUAGGGAAUCUUCCGCAAUGGGCGAAAGCCUGACGGAGCAACGCCGCGUGAGUGAUGAAGGUCUUCGGAUCGUAAAACUCUGUUAUUAGGGAAGAACAAAUGUGUAAGUAACUAUGCACGUCUUGACGGUACCUAAUCAGAAAGCCACGGCUAACUACGUG